UGGGGAAUAUUGGACAAUGGGCGAAAGCCUGAUCCGGCGACGCCGCGUGUCGGAAGGAGUCCUUCGGGAUGUAAACGACUUUUGGUGGAGACGAAUAAGCAGCUCAGGGAAUGGGGCUGUGAUGACGGUAUCCAUGGAAUAAGCCCCGGCUAACUACGUGCCAGCAGCCGCGGUAAGACGUAGGGGGCAAGCGGUACCCGGAAUUACUGGGCGUAAAGGGAGCGUAGGCGGGAGGUCAAGUCCGGUGUGAAAGACCCUGGCUCAACCAGGGAUGAGGGCUGGAAACUGACGAUCUUGAGUACAGCAGAGGAAGAGGGAAUUACCGGUGUAGGGGUGAAAUCCGUAGAGACCGGUAAGAAGGCCAGUGGCGAAGGCGCUUUUCUGGGCUGUUACUGACGCUGAGGCUCGAAAGCCAGGGGAGCAAACCG
rnacentral:rRNA from 1 species